rnacentral:rRNA from 1 species
GACGAACGCUGGCGGCGUGCCUAAUACAUGCAAGUAGAACGCUGAAGGAGGAGCUUGCUCUUCUGGAUGAGUUGCGAACGGGUGAGUAACGCGUAGGCAACCUGCCUGGUAGCGGGGGAUAACUAUUGGAAACGAUAGCUAAUACCGCAUAAUAGUAGAUGUUGCAUGAUAUUUACUUAAAAGGUGCAAUUGCACCACUACCAGAUGGACCUGCGUUGUAUUAGCUAGUUGGUGGGGUAACGGCUCACCAAGGCGACGAUACAUAGCCGACCUGAGAGGGUGAUCGGCCACACUGGGACUGAGACACGGCCCAGACUCCUACGGGAGGCAGCAGUAGGGAAUCUUCGGCAAUGGACGAAAGUCUGACCGAGCAACGCCGCGUGAGUGAAGAAGGUUUUCGGAUCGUAAAGCUCUGUUGUAAGAGAAGAACGAGUGUGAGAGUGGAAAGUUCACACUGUGACGGUAUCUUACCAGAAAGAGACGGCUAACUACGUG